AGGAAACCAGGUCAGUAGGGAGCCUUGUUCACUGUGUCUGAGGUCCUCCACCCAAGCACGCAGGGCAAAUUCAGCCCAUUCGUUCCCUCGGGCACCCUCUGGGGCCAGUUCCUAGCUGGCUGUUUGGACCAUUUCCAAUUCAGAACUCAUCAUAUGUGGUCCGUCCAAGAUUCUCCUCCUUAUUGGGAACCUUAGCCCCCUGGGAAGGCCAUAGAAUCUGGCUCUGUGUCCCGGAGGUAGGUCAGUCUGUGCCAGGAUCCAGCCCACCCUGCAGCCUGCCUUCUCACUGUGAACACCCAGCCAUGAACUGGCCCCUGAGAAUGUUCUAUCAGGAGCCGUGGGGGUGGGAAGAGACGGCAGGAAGUGUCAGCAAGCGGAGGCAGACCAGAGGCGCCAGGCCUCCAGGGAGCCCAGAGCAGGUCAGCGAAGGGCACUGGAACGGAAGAGCGGGUUAAGAGAGACCCGGAGGUGGGGAGAAGCAGAGACCCCUGCCCGCAGUGAAGGAGAUGCGCGGAACUGCUCGGCAGAGACAGCCGGACCAGGUGUGCGAGGAAGGCCCUCUCCCGGGGAGACAGGCUGCAGGAAGAGAGAGGAGCGACAAAAAAUUCCAAACCUUGACAGCCUCCUUCGGGGACCAGAGAUGUCAAACAAAAACAGAAAGAUUUCAUUACUUGUGUUGUUUUUUAAGAAACAGGCUACAUCCUCUAAAAGCAAUAUCCUUCCAAACCAGGAUGAAGAAUCUGCUCCAGUAGACGGCUGACCCAGUUCCCAUCACGGGGGACAGUGAGGACACCGAGGCACAGAAAGUGCUCCAUGAAGGUGGCGGCUGAGGGCAGGAGGAGAACCAGACAGUCAGGGGCUGAGAAAUCCCACGGCAUCGGAUGACGUGAAGCACUCUCCUCUUCUGCACCAUUUGAUGAGGAAACUGAAGCUAAGAGGAAUUACAUGGCUUGUCUGAGAAGUGGUGGCGUCCAGAUGGAAAUACAACAAGACGUGGAACUUCAGUGCAAAUUCCCCAGUGUCGUCCUUUACCAGGAAAGAAUGUAGGCGCGGGCCCUGGAAGGAAGUGGGCCUGAAUCUGACUCAUCUGGUUCAGAGAGCUUUAGUCUGUAUGCCCCCUCGCUGUUAAGGCGAGCUGAGAACAGGCCUCAGGCCUCGGAGUCUGCGUGUAUCUGUGCAGAAUGCGUACACGUCAAACACCAGCUGCUGCACCAGCCAGGCCCAGCCGGGACACAGGAACCUCCUCGGUCUUUCUGACUGGGGUAAUUUAAACCUGGGCUUGGCUGCACAGGCAGGGGAAGAGCUGAGAAAGCCAGCAGGGGACGGUGAGACCACCCAGCGACUGGCAACAGUAGGAAGUUGCUGCCAAUGCAGUGGGUCAUUUAGGGGCAGCGGGACAAGGGGAGGCGGUGUUACUGGAAACUGGAGCUUCCCAGAAGCAGCCAGGAUCAUGGAGGGUGGGCGUCUGGUGGGAGUUAGAACCUUGGAGAAGACAAAGCCUCCGCCAGAGACACCCCGGGAAGCAGAGGGAGAGAAGGAGAAACACCCUGGCUUCUCCCUUUCUCCCGCCUUCUGAUCCCCAUCAGGGCUUCCCAUUGGCUGAAUCUUUCCAGAAACCAGACAGCAGAGCAGGGGGGCCUGGGAAAUGUAGUUCCCUGUGACACAAGUACACUCCCAGCAGAUACAGACUGAGCAGGGACUCUGGAGGGGCCGGGCACCUGCCGUGAGGCAGCGUGUGGUCGGUGGCGCAGGCCCGUCCACAGUCUCAGCACCUCCUGAGAAGGAACACGUGAGGGUGUUUCCUUCUGCUUCUUGCAACGUGUCCUUUGGUCACUGCAGUGGAGGACCUCGGGCCCAUUCCCACCCCUCCAUCCGCUCAGGAAGGCCCAUCGCUCCUUCACUGUGUUUCGACAGCUGUCCCUCUCUGUCCUCCUCUGCCUGCCCGUGGUGAGGCCGCCUUUGAGACCUCGGGCUCAGUGGGAGAGCCGGCCUGUUUCCCUUCCCAGUCUUGGCUUCCCUGCAUCCCCCCUACCCCCGC